CAAGUCGAACGAACUCUGGUAUUGAUUGGUGCUUGCAUCAUGAUUUACAUUUGAGUGAGUGGCGAACUGGUGAGUAACACGUGGGAAACCUGCCCAGAAGCGGGGGAUAACACCUGGAAACAGAUGCUAAUACCGCAUAACAACUUGGACCGCAUGGUCCGAGUUUGAAAGAUGGCUUCGGCUAUCACUUUUGGAUGGUCCCGCGGCGUAUUAGCUAGAUGGUGGGGUAACGGCUCACCAUGGCAAUGAUACGUAGCCGACCUGAGAGGGUAAUCGGCCACAUUGGGACUGAGACACGGCCCAAACUCCUACGGGAGGCAGCAGUAGGGAAUCUUCCACAAUGGACGAAAGUCUGAUGGAGCAACGCCGCGUGAGUGAAGAAGGGUUUCGGCUCGUAAAACUCUGUUGUUAAAGAAGAACAUAUCUGAGAGUAACUGUUCAGGUAUUGACGGUAUUUAACCAGAAAGCCACGGCUAACUACGUGCCAGCAGCCGCGGUAAUACGUAGGUGGCAAGCGUUGUCCGGAUUUAUUGGGCGUAAAGCGAGCGCAGGCGGUUUUUUAAGUCUGAUGUGAAAGCCUUCGGCUCAACCGAAGAAGUGCAUCGGAAACUGGGAAACUUGAGUGCAGAAGAGGACAGUGGAACUCCAUGUGUAGCGGUGAAAUGCGUAGAUAUAUGGAAGAACACCAGUGGCGAAGGCGGCUGUCUGGUCUGUAACUGACGCUGAGGCUCGAAAGUAUGGGUAGCCAACAGGAUUAGAUACCCUGGUAGUCCAUACCGUAAACGAUGAAUGCUAAGUGUUGGAGGGUUUCCGCCCUUCAGUGCUGCAGCUAACGCAUUAAGCAUUCCGCCUGGGGAGUACGGCCGCAAGGCUGAAACUCAAAGGAAUUGACGGGGGCCCGCACAAGCGGUGGAGCAUGUGGUUUAAUUCGAAGCUACGCGAAGAACCUUACCAGGUCUUGACAUACUAUGCAAAUCUAAGAGAUUAGACGUUCCCUUCGGGGACAUGGAUACAGGUGGUGCAUGGUUGUCGUCAGCUCGUGUCGUGAGAUGUUGGGUUAAGUCCCGCAACGAGCGCAACCCUUAUUAUCAGUUGCCAGCAUUAAGUUGGGCACUCUGGUGAGACUGCCGGUGACAAACCGGAGGAAGGUGGGGAUGACGUCAAAUCAUCAUGCCCCUUAUGACCUGGGCUACACACGUGCUACAAUGGAUGGUACAACGAGUUGCGAACUCGCGAGAGUAAGCUAAUCUCUUAAAGCCAUUCUCAGUUCGGAUUGUAGGCUGCAACUCGCCUACAUGAAGUCGGAAUCGCUAGUAAUCGCGGAUCAGCAUGCCGCGGUGAAUACGUUCCCGGGCCUUGUACACACCGCCCGUCACACCAUGAGAGUUUGUAACACCCAAAGUC
rnacentral:rRNA from 2 species